GUUUCGAAUCAUUCACAAUGGGCGAAAGCCUGAUGGUGCGACGCCGCGUGAGGGAUGAAGGUCUUCGGAUUGUAAACCUCUGUCACUGGGGAGAAAACGCUUUGAGCUAAUAGUUCCAAGCCUGAUUUAACCCGGAGAGGAAGCAGUGGCUAACUCUGUGCCAGCAGCCGCGGUAAUACAGAGACUGCAAGCGUUAUUCGGAUUCACUGGGCGUAAAGGGUGCGCAGGCGGUUGGGUGUGUCAGAUGUGAAAUCCCGAGGCUUAACCUCGGAACUGCGUCUGAAACUACUCGACUAGAGUACUGGAGAGGGAAACGGAAUUCACGGUGUAGCAGUGAAAUGCGUAGAUAUCGUGAGGAACACCAGAGGCGAAGGCGGUUUCCUGGACAGUUACUGACGCUCAGGCACGAAAGCAUGGGGAGCAAAAGGGAUUAGAUACCCGAGUAGUCC
rnacentral:rRNA from 1 species